rnacentral:rRNA from 1 species
GACAGAGGGUGCAAACGUUGCUCGGAAUCACUGGGCGUAAAGGGCGUGUAGGCGGGAAGGAAAGUCGGGCGUGAAAUCCCUGGGCUCAACCCAGGAACUGCACUCGAAACUUCUUUUCUUGAGUGCCGGAGAGGAAAGCGGAAUUCCUGGUGUAGAGGUGAAAAUUCGUAGAUAUCAGGAGGAACACCAGUGGCGAAGGCGGCUUUCUGGACGGUAACUGACGCUGAGAACGCGAAAGCGUGGGGAGCAAACAGG